rnacentral:rRNA from 1 species
UCGACGAUCAUGCGUAAUCGGCUGUAUCUGUAUACGGUGAAGCGGCAAACGGUCCGCGGCCCCCCGGUAUACCGCGCUCUAGUGGCGCCGCGUAAUACUGGGCUUAAAGCGUCCGUAGCUGUUCUGUUAAGUCUCUGGGGAAUCUACCGGCUUAACCGGUAGCGGCUCAGGGAUACUGCAGACUAGGGACCGGGAGAGGUGAGAGGUACUCCAGGGGUAGGAGUGAAAUCCUGUAAUCCUUGGGGGACCACCUGUGGCGAAGGCGUCUCACCAGAACGGCUCCGACAGUGAGGGACGAAAGCUGGGGGAGCAAACCGGAUUAGAUACCCGGGUAGUCCCAGCUGUAAACGAUGCGCGUUAGGUGUAACGUGCCCGCCUGGAAGUACGGUCGCAAGCUGAAACUUAAAGGAAUUGGCGGGGGAGCACCACGCAAGGCUGAAACUUAAAGGAAUUGGCGGGGGAGCACCACAACGGGUGGAGCCUGCGGUUUAAUCGGACUCAACGCCGGGAAUCUCACCGGAUAAGACAGCUGUAUGAUUGCCGGGCUGAAGACUCUGCAUGACUAGCUGAGAGGAGGUGCAUGGCCGUCGUCAGUUCGUACUGUGAAGCAUCCUGUUAAGUCAGGCAACGAGCGAGACCCACGCCAACAGUUGCCAGCUCGUCCUCCGGGAUGGAGGGGACACUGUUGGGACCGCCUCUGCUAAAGAGGAGGAAGGAAUGGGCAACGGUAGGUCAGCAUGCCCCGAAUUAUCCGGGCUACACGCGGGCUACAAUGGGUGGGACAUGGGUAUCGACACCGAAAGGUGAAGGCAUCUCCUAAACCCAUCCUUAGUUCGGAUUGUGGGCUCAACUCGCCGACAUGAAGCUGAAUCCGUAUAACCGUGGAAUGCCCGAAUUCCUCC